rnacentral:rRNA from 1 species
UCGAGGAUCAUUCGCAAUGGGCGCAAGCCUGACGGUGCGACGCUGCGUGGAGGAUGAAGGCCCUCGGGUUGUAAACUCCUGUCGUGUGGGAACAAUAGUCUGACCGCUAACACCGGUUGGAAAUGAUAGUACCGCAAAAGGAAGCCACGGCUAACUCUGUGCCAGCAGCCGCGGUAAUACAGAGGUGGCAAGCGUUGUUCGGAUUUACUGGGCGUAAAGGGUGCGUAGGUGGCUUUGUGUGUCGGGCGUGAAAUCCCACCGCUCAACGGUGGAACGCCGCCCGAAACUGCAGGGCUCGAGUGCAGGAGAGGAGAGCGGAAUUCUUGGUGUAGCGGUGGAAUGCGUUGAUAUCAAGAAGAACACCAGUGGCGUAGGCGGCUCUCUGGAAUGCAACUGACACUGAGGCACGAAAGCGUGGGGAGCAAACA